GGGGGAGCACGGGUGCCCCGCGGGCGGACCCACCGCCCGAGGAGGGGAGGCAGCGGGCGGAGCCUGGGCCAAACCUUUCCUUAUCGCAUCUGGCGAGCAGCGGGCCCCCAGCACCGCCCUGGCCGCUGGCCAAGCGCGGAGCCGACAGCCAGGCGGCCGUGGCACGGCCAGGUCUCCCCGUGCCUCAGCAUCCCGUGGGGCUGAGCCCCGAGAAACCAACAGCCCUGGCUCUCAGGAAGGGGAAACCGAGGCAUGGAAGGCCUGAAAAGCUGCUGCAGGUGUUCCUGUGAAGUGGCUCCAUGCAUCCCUCCAUGCUGCAGGCCUUUUCCCAGGAGAGGAAAUUCCUGCUGGGUCUUCCCAGCACUGCCUGAAGAUGGAGCAACCCCGCGAAGUCCACCCCAAAGCCUGCACCCGAGGGCAGCCUCGCAGCAGCCCUGUCCCUAUAAAAGGCUGAAGGGGAAGCAAUGAGUGCUGGGAUGGGGAAAAUUUUGGG
rnacentral:lncRNA from 1 species